AUACGGAGGGUGCAAGCGUUACUCGGAAUCACUGGGCGUAAAGCGCGCGCAGGCGGCUUGAUAAGUUGGAUGUGAAAGCCUACGGCUCAACCGUAGAACUGCAUCCAAAACUGUCAGGCUAGGGUGUGGGAGAGGAAGAUGGAAUUAGUUGUGUAGGGGUAAAAUCCGUAGAGAUAACUAGGAAUACCAAAAGCGAAGGCAAUCUUCUGGAACACUACUGACGCUGAGGCGCGAAGGCGUGGGGAGCAAACAGGAUUAGAUACCCCAGUAGUCC
rnacentral:rRNA from 1 species